GCUAUGACGCCCGGGCCUGGGUAGGCACCUGCCUCUGGCCGCUGAGCAGCGGUGGAGCCGAGUGAGCCGGGACCCUCACGGCACUCUCCGAAAGACAGUUUCCGGCCUGGUUCCCGCGGUUCCGCCUCAGCCCCAAGGAAGAAAGCGCCUUUUCUGCGUUCCUUUUCAGCAUUCCAGGUCUUUCCCGCUUCUCUCACCCGUGUGGCCCGAAACCGGAGGAGAGCCUCUCCUGGCUCUGCCUUUGUUGUGACGGGCUGGAGUGAUUCUGCCUGAAGAAGGAUUCGCCCGUCCCCAGGAACCCAACCGCCACAGGCCUUUAGAAUUAGGCUGUCUGUCUUAUUUAGAGAGGGCUUGGAACCCGUCAGUUAGUUAAGUGGGCUCUCCUUUUCCCACUGCCCAAGCGAAGACUCAGCCCUGCACAGACCACUGCGCCUGACGGGCCUGGCCCGAGUCCUCCGAGCCACGGCUUCCCCAGGUCGUAGGCUUGUGAACAAAGAACUGCCGUUUUCUGCUUGUUCGUCCUAUGUUCAUCAUGCAGAAUCUUAAUUGCCGAUGAAGCUCUGCAGAGGCCUUUGGUAUCUUCAGCAUCCGACGUCAUCAAGUCAGUUACCUUCUGCCUUUCGAGCUACAAUCUCAUCCGCUUCUCUCAUCACCCUGAGCGCCACUUUUCUCAUCCUGCUCAUUCCACAGCCAUUUUCACCCUUUCUCGUCCAUGCUGCGCAUCACUGAAUGUUCAUUCGUCUCCACCACCUCUGCCAUCUAUAGACCACCUCCCUCUGUUUUCCUGCUACAAUGCUUUGGGUAGCUAAGUAUUCCACAUUCUCCAGCUCUGGAAUCAUUUGGAAGAUUUUCUUUGUUUCUCUGCACUAUGGCAAGCUUCCUGUCUUGGGUAAACUAACUAGCAUGGAGAAGCGCACGUUGGUAAAAACAAACAGUAAAUUUCUGCAAGCUUAGUGUGUUUUGAAAACGGAGGGGGAAAAAUAAAAAUGCAUUUUUAGGCCUGUCCCAGGCUUAUAUAAAAAAAGAAGAUUGUGCCUUGCUCAAGUGAAUACUAUGUUAGAUUUACAUGAUGUAUUCUUGCGUAUGAAAAGAUCAUUCAGAAUGAUCAUGUAACCGGAUUUCAACUUUAAGCCCGUAUGAACACAGUGCCUUGAUACCAUCGAAUUUCCUGGAGAGGAGAUGCUUAAAAUAGAACAGUGAAGACGGGCUGAGCGCUGCUACCAGAAAUUUAGAAGAACUUACAGUGAAGUACAUGGAAGAAAUGAAAGAAGUGGAAAAGUAUGCAAACCAUGUCCAUAACUUAACAGAGGAAAAAGAAGCAUUUUCUCACGGUCGUGAAAAGGAAAACAAACAGCAUAGACAUGUGGUUAAAGAGCUCCAACCCAAACAGGAAGUGCAAAUAAAAGAGAUUGAAGAAAUGUUGUAUCAAGAGGGCUUAUCCGAAAUAGCUCUGAGCAGCCCCAGUGAACAGAUUACAUACUUACUGGUAGAAAGAAAACACUCUUGAGGAAACUGGAAACUGGGGGCUCCAAGCCAGAGUCACAAAGACGUAUGACCAGUAACCUACAGAAAGGACUU